CGGUAAUACGUAGGGUGCGAGCGUUAAUCGGAAUUACUGGGCGUAAAGCGUGCGCAGGCGGUUUUGUAAGACAGAUGUGAAAUCCCCGGGCUUAACCUGGGAACUGCAUUUGUGACUGCAAGGCUAGAGUACGGCAGAGGGGGGUAGAAUUCCACGUGUAGCAGUGAAAUGCGUAGAUAUGUGGAGGAAUACCGAUGGCGAAGGCAGCCCCCUGGGUCGAUACUGACGCUCAUGCACGAAAGCGUGGGGAGCAAACAGGAUUAGAUACCCUGGUAGUCCACGCCCUAAACGAUGUCAACUAGGUGUUGGGGGAGGAGACUCUCUUAGUACCGCAGCUAACGCGUGAAGUUGACCGCCUGGGGAGUACGGCCGCAAGGUUGAA
rnacentral:rRNA from 1 species